ACUGCUUUGUUUUUUUAUGUUGUCAGUUAUACAUUUUCUCUUGUUGUAUAGCAAAAGGUAUCAAUGUGUCAUGAAGGCCAGGGCUUAACCUGAAAUGUUCUCUUGAUUUGGUAGUGCCUUAUUGGAUCACAACAUAACUACAGCUGGACUACAUAAGUCAAGACUUACAAAAAUGAACUAAAACAGACCAAGAUAUGUCAGAGGCUGCUGAGCUUAUCUAUGCUGGUAGACGAUCUCUUUUUCCCCUCGUCUGAGGUGGCGCUACACCAAGAACAACUUCAGGAACUGACAAGAAGACCUAUGAAGAAGACACUGGAAGAGUGAGAUUGUAGCAGUUGUAGGAUUUCUCUUUUGUUUUUGACUAAAGACCACGAGCCGUUUCUCCUGCUAGUUCUAGACACACAUGUUUGUUAUGGUUUUAUUUACCCAGAAUACCCUGCAGUGUAGUCAAUUUCCUGCUUUUGGAGCGGUCUCCGAUUGACUUGGCAUUCACAUAUGCUUUUGAACCGCACCAUAGUUUACUUCAACUGAAUCAAGACCUAGGUAGAAUGAACCCUUAGAUUUAGAAGAUUUACAUACAACUAUUGAUUUUGUGGACUUGACGUUAGGUUGCACUACAGGGGAAGUCGGUAGAGAGAGUGAUGUUUUGGUCAGGUAAUUCAUGUAAAAGAUUUUUUGACACCCAUCUGAAGCGAUAAAAUCCCUCAUGGACCAUGUUUGUAUGAACACCUGUUCAUUUGACAGAGAGAGACACUCAGGCCAUUGGGGCAACUAGUGAGAAAUUGUGCAUCAGAGUGGAGAAAAAAAGGGGACAUCAGUGAUGGCAGGGAGAUGCUCACAACACAUUGAAAGCUGAUAGACUGCAGCAGCAGACCCUACUGACUAACAGGUUUGUCAGUUUGGAGUCGGUGAAGCCCUAGUUUGGGGGAAUGUUUCCAACACUUGGUUGAGUCUAUGGCACAAAUAAGGAGAAUCUCAUGAGGUGUCCAGUGAGCAUAAUUUCUUUAUCAACUCUGGUGAUUCCCAGUACCAGAGGUGUUUUUAUAGUUGGGUAAUGUUGCCCUUUAACACAAGUUUUCUGAAACACUGAUGGAUGUUUAGCUCCUCUCAAUUUCUCCAGUUCUGCUCAGCUGUGAGUAUGGGGAAGUUGAGAUGAAACAAAAGAAGUCCCCACCUGGUGUUUUGGGGUAUGAAAACAUCUCCUUGGUGUGGGAUGACAUGCAGGGUCCUGUUAGAUCCAGUAUAGUCUGUACUUGCAGAUCAGGAAGUUUUGCAGCACAGUUGGGACAAAAUCAAUAUUAGAAAGAUGUUAUUGAACGUGUCUGGUGUGUUUACUUGCUGUAUCUUAAAGCUUGAUUCCAUGAAGCCCCUGCCCUGAAGCUGUUCAUGAAAGGUGAAAAGUUUUGCAAAGUUGAGCUUGUUUGGAAGGAAACAAGCUCAACUAUCUGAAAGAUACAAAAUAUUACUAUCAAACUAUAGAUUGAAAACUCUUUAAAGAUGUAUAUUUUACAAUUGAAAUGUUUUGUUGGAUUUGAAUGGUUUUCACUAAUUUCUCUUUUUGAUGUUGUGGCUGCUCCUUUCAUGUCCCAACCUGUUCUCCAUUGUCUUUCUUCUGUUGAGCACCUCAGAUGCCCCGUUCUGCUUCCACGUUCAGUCUGAACGAAUCUACCACAAACAGUGCUGUGGUUCAGCGCUCUAACUCUUUGGAUCAUGCCCCUGUCAAACCUAGAAUCCCUGUUUGUAUCCGUAGCCCCUGCACUCCAGCCAAAAUACACUCUUCCUACAGCGCAUCAGACUCCUCUGGUGGUCCUGAACUCAAAUACAGCUCUGUCAUCCAAGAAUACAAGUCCACCUCUUAUUCUGUACCAAUGAUUCAACCCAAGUCAAUCCCACAGAAAUCCAUCUUCACACAAGCUGGUCAUGGCUCCCCUCAUCUUAAAAAUAUCCAACCACAGUCUGGCCAGGAUCUGGCCAGACGUCUUGCCUCUGGAGGUUUUCAGCCAAGAAGCCCAGGUCCUCAGCCUGUUACCUUGAAUACCAGGACCUUUUCUGAGUCAUGCCUGGAUCCUCAAGUGGAGCCACAGUCUGCUGUACUGACCAGUCCUCGCAGAGAGAUGCUGAUCUAAACCGCCGCUGAUGUUAUUCCUGCAGUCCCAUGCGCACCACUCCCCCUCCAUGGUCAACCUGCCAACCAUGUUUGAGAGGAAGUACCACACAUUCUCCCGGUCAUCCACCCAUCUCUUCUGAUAUGUCACUGGUUGGUGAACCAGCUUCCUCCACCACCAAGAUAAACUCAGAAAAUGUGUUUUCUGGUUAAAUCAGCAGUAGUCUCAGGGCCAACUCUUCCAUGUUUCCACUCUGAAGCUCUGGACAGUCUUUCCACAUGCAGGAAAUGUGACAGUAUUUUGGAGAAGGAAUCUGCAGAAAGGACAUACUGAUAUUUGCCAGUAUCAGAAUUGUCCUGUUUCCAUAGCAGAAUGAAGAUGAUGCACCAGUUGUUCUUCAUCCUGAUGCAGGUUCUGAAGCCCAGCCCAUGGAUGUGGCUGGUAUUAUGAACUCCUAGCUGAAAUGGCACGUUGUCAUGCUGAGGUUCACUGCACACUGAAAAAAGCAAUUUUGCUGAUGUCCUGCAUUAACAAGGACCACUUCUGUUCAUCUGAUUGGUCAGUUCACAGGUUGUUGACUCGCUGCUGUUAAAUAUCUUCCAUGACUAGCAUUACUUGCUUUGUUUGUUGACACAUUGAGAGUAGCUGUAGAGCGAGAGUACAUAUUGGUUCAUCUGUCCCUCAUUGUCUCUGGACUCUAACAUGUUUGCUAAUGUGAUUGUAAUUUCAAAGAUGAGGCUUUUUUUAACCAAUCAAUGUUCAGCUCUUCCUGUAAUAACAAAGUUUAAUUUUUCUCUCACUGACUUAAUUCCCUUUAAUAUUAGACAAACGUCUAAACUGACAUGUUUUUAGUGGGAAGAGGUGUUUUGACCUUUAACUUCAGCUCUUUUAUUUGACCAUUAUUUUCUGUAUGUAAACUGUCAUAGUUUACAGCUUAUAUAAAGCUGUAAUCACAAGGUUGGGAAGAAUAAAAGCAUUUUAGUCUGCUUCUAUGUACACCCAUUAUUGUCUGCAUUGUGUGUGCAUAGGGGUGUUGUAUCAGUGUACAUAUUUAUUUUUUCAUGAAUAGUUAGACUGUGGCCAAUCUUUUUACUGCUAUUUAUGUUCAUUCUGAUUUUGUCUGUCAUUAUGUUUUACUGUUUGUCACUUGUUAUUUUAUCUCUUUAUUAAAUGCACUUAAACUUG